CCUGGCGGCGAUAGCGCGGUGGUCCCACCUGACCCCAUGCCGAACUCAGAAGUGAAACGCCGUAGCGC
rnacentral:rRNA from 1 species